rnacentral:rRNA from 1 species
AUACGGAGGGUGCAAGCGUUACUCGGAAUCACUGGGCGUAAAGCGCGCGCAGGCGGCUAUUUAAGUUGGAUGUGAAAGCCUACGGCUCAACCGUUGAACUGCAUCCAAAACUAUUUAGCUAGAGUGUGGGAGAGGAAGAUGGAAUUAGUUGUGUAGGGGUAAAAUCCGUAGAGAUAACUAGGAAUACCAAAAGCGAAGGCAAUCUUCUGGAACACUACUGACGCUGAGGCGCGAAAGCGUGGGGAGCAAACAGGAUUAGAAACCCUAGUAGUCC